UUCUAAAAGAUAUUAUUUUUAGUAAAAUCUGCUCAAUGAUUUUAUUUCAAUAGCCGCAGCUAUCUGUGCUAAGGUAGCAUAAUCAUUUGUUUCCUAAUUAGAAACUAGAAUGAAAGAUAUAACAUUUUAAAUAAUUCCUUAAUUAAUCAUUUAAAAUUUAUCUAAAACAUUAAAAGAUGUUUAUUUAUAAAAAAGACAACAAGACCCUAUUGAACUUCACUAAAGUUUAACUGGGGCAGUUUAUUAAUUAAAAUUUUAAUUCUUCAAUAACUAAUCAUAAUAAUCCAUUAAAAAUGAAAUAAUCAAGUUACCAUAGGGAUAACAGCAUAAUUAAAUCUUAAAGCUCUUAUUAAAAAUUUAGAUUAUGACCUCGAUGUUGAAUAAUAUCCUCUUAAACGCAACAAUUUAAAAAGGAAGUCUGUUCGACUUUUAAAAAAUUACA
rnacentral:rRNA from 1 species